UCCGCCUGCACCUAAUAGAGGCUACAACUGAGCAGCUUGUUUGAACUGACCCAUGUAGAUGCUAAAAUUGCUGCUGGCUCUUCAUGUGAAUUAACAAUUCAUGGCUUCUAAGUUCUAACUUGCCAUGCUUGAAAAGAAUCAUUCAGCUGACUGGCCAAGAGGGACUAUGUUGGUGCAUCGAUGACUCUUUUUUACUAAGUACACAUCACAGUGAUGUCUUGUGGUAUGUCCCCCGCACCUGAGAGCUUUGGCUCUCGCUCCCCGUACCUCCAGCUAUUGACUUGCCAUCUGCCGUAUGGACACUUGGAAUAAAGCAUCAUUUGGCAAAUACUUCUCAGUGGGUGAGUGCACCUGAAGAAACGCCCAUCGGCAUGAAACGGCACCAUUGUGCUUCGAUGAACGUCCCUGCCACACUGCUCUGCAUGGCAUACACGGGGAUUGUCCUCAGAACCACUCUUCACAUGUACGCUGCUACAUCAUGAAAUAAAGAAGUUCUGCUGACCGGAUCUUUUGCCAGUCUUUGCAAUCUGGGAAGAGCCAACCUCAAUUCACCCAUGAAAUCAGCAACUCGGGUCACAUAUGCCUCUACCAGACCCACACCAGUAACCAUUCCCCUUCGGAACACUGUCAGGUCUGAAUUAUAAGGUGCCUAAAUAAAUAAGACAAGCUAAUAAUAUAAUGCUUAAUUACAUGUAUAGAAAAACACUCUAUACCAUGUAAUAUACAGUCUAUGGGACCUAUGCAGAGGGUAAACUUAUUUUAUUACUGUUGAUAGCCUG